rnacentral:lncRNA from 1 species
UAGGUCUAACUCAUAUUGUUAUCAGAAAAAUAUAAGGUAUAAGAUAAAAUAAUCCCAGAAAAAUAAUUAAAAUGGCCUUAUUACAACCCAAAACCAAAUAAUAAUAUUAAUAAGAUAAAACUUAUAAAGAAAUAAAUCAGCUACUUAUUGCAAUUAAAAGAAACAGAAACAGUAGUGUGGCCAUCUUCAAGUCCCUCGCAGCUCCAAACCAUCUAAGCUUUGGGAUUACCUGCACAGUUAGAAACGGGGUGAGUUUACGAAAACUCAGUGUGCAACCCCAAUAACAAACAAACAGUAAAUAACACGGUAUCAGUACAAUCUGGGCCAAAGCCCUAUUUAGUCUUGACAUAUACUGGGCUGAAGCCUUUCCAAAAAUCAUAUCACUGGGCCGAAGCCUUUUCAUAAAUCAUAUCACUGGGCCGAAGCCUUUUCAUAAUAUAUCACUGGGCUGAAGCCUUUACUGUAAACGGUAUGGCCCUUAGGCCCAUUUCAAUAUCACAUGUAAUGUCAAUGGAUGUAUGCAAGCUCAUUUCAAUAUCAUAUGUAAUGCCAAUGAAUGUAUGCAAGCCCAUUUCAGUAUCACAUGUAAUGUCAAUGAAUGUAUGCAAGCCCAUUUGGGGAGACUACUCGACUCACCAUCCGCUACUCUCCACCCGUGCCAACCAAGCUCUCCAUAUGGGGAAUAACUCAACCCACCCAACCAAACUCUCCACUGGCAGCAUAGCUGCUUUAUCAUAUAACUGGAGGCCUAGCCUCUUUCAAUAACUGGGGCAAAGCCCUUUCUGAUAAACUGGGGCAAAGCCCUUUUCGGUAAACUGGGGCAGAGCCCUUUUAGCACUUCCUCCAUCAAUAUAACCCAUAUCCCAUGCAAUAUGUCAUGUAUGCAGAAUGUCAUGCCCAUAUUUGAAUCAAACAAUCACAGUCAAGUCAUUCAUAUCACCAACAUAUAUUCACAAUCAAAUCCGUCAACCAUACAGUCCAAGUCAGUCACUUGCCCACAAGGGCAAAACAGUCAUUUUUCAUAAGGGUAUUUUUGUAAUUUUACCAAAAAUUAGGGUUUUUCAUGUUCAUUACAAUUGUAAAUAUUUUCGAGUGUUUAAACAAUGAUCUUUAACCCACUUAUCAAAUUCGGGCUUUUGGGCCCAAAACCCCUAAUGGGCCCUACGAAUGCUAAUUUAGCCCACUAAGCCUGUUUAACCCAAAUUUUACAACAAUACUAACCGUGUUAACAUGCAAUUUUUCCAAAUUCCAUUUUCUAUCAAUUUUACUCAAAUAGGCCCAAAAGCCCAUUUGGCCCAAUUCCUACCCAUUGAGGUCCAACUUACCAUAGUGCACAAAAUUGAGUUCUUACCUGUUCCAUCGAUCCAAAAAUCGAUCUUAUCGUAUUUAUCGCAUCUAUAGCCACACGCAACAUUACAAGUUCCCGAAAUGCCGGUAUUUUAGCAUUUCGGCCUCUUAGCAGAUAUUAAUCUAAGCUGCUACGAGGGUUAGUACACACCUGUUAUGGGUUGAAGUUGAAACGUUUCCAUAAUCAAUCACCUACGAUAACCACCACCUGUCACUCAAACUUAACUAAUCCAAUAUCAAUAUAUGUAAAUCCUAAGCACAUCAGUCAUACGGAACAUAAGGGCAUAUUCGUCAUUUUACCAUACAGGGGUAUUACGGUCACUUUACCCUAUAGGGGCUUUACGGUCUUUUUACCUAUUAGGGGUAUUUUAGUCAUUUCAUCCUACAAGGGUGUUUUGGUAAAUCUACAAACCAAGGGUAUUUCAGUAACUUUGUAAACCAAUGGUAUUUCAAUAAUUUUUAGAAAGUCAAAGGUAUUUCUGUAAUUUUGUAAAUCAAGGGUAUUUUGGUAAUUUUACAAACUAGGGGUAUUUUGGUAAUUUUACAAACUAGGGGCAUUUUGGUAAUUCUAUCCUACAGGGGGAUUUCAGUAAUUUCACAAUCGAGGGUAAAACGGUAAUUUUUUAAACUGAGGGUAAAAUGGUAAUUUUGUAAAUCGAGGGUAAAACGGUAAUUCUGUAAAUCAAGGGUAAAAUGGUAAUUCUAUAAAUCGAGGAUAAAAUGGUAAUUUUGUAAAUCGAGGGUGAAACGGUAAUUCUAUAAAUCGAAGGUAAAAUGGUAAUUCUACAAAUUGAGGGCAUUUCAGUAAUUUGGUAAACUAAAGUAUUCUAAACAGGGAUAACAAUACGAAUGGGCCUAAAGCCUAUUAUCAGCCCAAAUGGGCCCACACGCUCGUGUGGCCUUUUUAGCCCAAAUCUAGCCACAAAUAUGAGAUUCACCUAGCCUAGUACAAUAUUUACUACAUAAUCAAACAACUUAUCCAAUUGGGCUCAUAGGCCCAUUGGGCCCACAUGGCCCCUUUCGACCCAUCGCGGCCCGAAGUAGCCAUUCUACAACUAGAGUAGCGAGAAAACACACACCUGAUAGGAGACUGGAGUUAAUCCACGCUCUGAGCACUCUUAGCCGACGCCCAACCCAAACGAGCACGCCAUACAGCGAAAGGG